rnacentral:rRNA from 1 species
UACGAAGGGGGCUAGCGUUGCUCAGAAUCACUGGGCGUAAAGGGUGCGUAGGCGGGUCUUUUAAGUCAGGGGUGAAAUCCUGGAGCUCAACUCCAGAACUGCCUUUGAUACUGAAGAUCUUGAGUUCGGGAGAGGUGAGUGGAACUGCGAGUGUAGAGGUGAAAUUCGUAGAUAUUCGCAAGAACACCAGUGGCGAAGGCGGCUCACUGGCCCGAUACUGACGCUGAGGCACGAAAGCGUGGGGAGCAAACAGG